AGGAAUAUUGGUCAAUGGGCGCAAGCCUGAACCAGCCAAGUAGCGUGAGGGAAGACUGCCCUAUGGGUUGUAAACCUCUUUUGUGCGGGGAUAAAGUGUGGGACGUGUCCCAUAUUGCAGGUACCGCACGAAUAAGGACCGGCUAAUUCCGUGCCAGCAGCCGCGGUAAUACGGAGGAUCCGAGCGUUAUCCGGAUUUAUUGGGUUUAAAGGGAGCGUAGGCGGGUUGUUAAGUCAGUUGUGAAAGUUUGCGGCUCAACCGUAAAAUUGCAGUUGAUACUGGCGACCUUGAGUGCAACAGAGGUAGGCGGAAUUCGUGGUGUAGCGGUGAAAUGCUUAGAUAUCACGAAGAACUCCGAUUGCGAAGGCAGCUUACUGGAUUGUAACUGACGCUGAUGCUCGAAAGUGUGGGUAUCAAACAGGAUUAGAUACCCUGGUAGUCCACACAGUAAACGAUGAAUACUCGCUGUUGGCGAUAUACGGUCAGCGGCCAAGCGAAAGCAUUAAGUAUUCCACCUGGGGAGUACGCCGGCAACGGUGAAACUCAAAGGAAUUGACGGGGGCCCGCACAAGCGGAGGAACAUGUGGUUUAAUUCGAUGAUACGCGAGGAACCUUACCCGGGCUUAAAUUGCAACUGACUGAACCGGAAACGGUUCUUUCUUCGGACAGUUGUGAAGGUGCUGCAUGGUUGUCGUCAGCUCGUGCCGUGAGGUGUCGGCUUAAGUGCCAUAACGAGCGCAACCCUUAUCGAUAGUUACUAGCAGGUCAUGCUGAGGACUCUAUUGAGACUGCCGUCGUAAGAUGUGAGGAAGGUGGGGAUGACGUCAAAUCAGCACGGCCCUUACGUCCGGGGCUACACACGUGUUACAAUGGGGGGUACAGAAGGCAGCUACACGGCGACGUGGUGCUAAUCCCGAAAGCCUCUCUCAGUUCGGAUUGGAGUCUGCAACCCGACUCCAUGAAGCUGGAUUCGCUAGUAAUCGCGCAUCAGCCACGGCGCGGUGAAUACGUUCCCG
rnacentral:rRNA from 1 species